rnacentral:rRNA from 1 species
UACGAAGGGUGCAAGCGUUACUCGGAAUUACUGGGCGUAAAGCGUGCGUAGGUGGUGAGUUAAGUCUGCCGUGAAAGCCCCGGGCUCAACCUGGGAAUGGCGAUGGAUACUGGCUCGCUAGAGUGCGGUAGAGGAGAGUGGAAUUCCCGGUGUAGCAGUGAAAUGCGUAGAGAUCGGGAGGAACAUCAGUUGCGAAGGCGGCUCUCUGGACCAGCACUGACACUGAGGCACGAAAGCGUGGGGAGCAAACCGG